AUGGUUUUGUCAGUGCGCCAUUAUUUCUUCUCAAGUUCUGCAAUGUAUUCAGAUAAAGAUGCUGCUAUAGACUAUCUUAAGGACAUAAUUUCACAGUUGGGUGACGCCAAGGAAUCAGAGGACUGGCAUAUGAACGAACAGGGCAAUGUAUACAUGAGGCUCAAUGCAAAGUGUGACAUAUUCCGGGCUGCAAGUUAUCAGUUACUCAAAGUUGCAAUGGCUAUUGUUGAUCUAGAUGAUGUCAAGAAUGGUAGUGCAAUACUAGCGUCACUGAUGAUUAUUCAAUACUCCUCUCGGAAUGAAGUCCGGGCCCCUGAAAUUGCAAUCUAG
rnacentral:rRNA from 1 species